rnacentral:rRNA from 1 species
UAACACGUAUCCAACCUGCCGAUGACUCGGGGAUAGNCUUUCGAAAGAAAGAUUAAUGCCCGAUGGCAUAGUUCUUCCGCAUGGUAGAACUAUUAAAGAAUUUCGGUCAUCGAUGGGGAUGCGUUCCAUUAGGUUGUUGGCGGGGUAACGGCCCACCAAGCCUUCGAUGGAUAGGGGUUCUGAGAGGAAGGUCCCCCACAUUGGAACUGAGACACGGUCCAAACUCCUACGGGAGGCAGCAGUGAGGAAUAUUGGUCAAUGGACGAGAGUCUGAACCAGCCAAGUAGCGUGAAGGAUGACUGCCCUAUGGGUUGUAAACUUCUUUUAUACGGGAAUAAAGUGAGGCACGUGUGCCUUUUUGUAUGUACCGUAUGAAUAAGGAUCGGCUAACUCCGUGCCAGCAGCCGCGGUAAUACGGAGGAUCCGAGCGUUAUCCGGAUUUAUUGGGUUUAAAGGGAGCGUAGGCGGACGCUUAAGUCAGUUGUGAAAGUUUGCGGCUCAACCGUAAAAUUGCAGUUGAUACUGGGUGUCUUGAGUACAGUAGAGGCAGGCGGAAUUCGUGGUGUAGCGGUGAAAUGCUUAGAUAUCACGAAGAACUCCGAUUGCGAAGGCAGCCUGCUGGACUGUAACUGACGCUGAUGCUCGAAAGUGUGGGUAUCAAACAGGAUUAGAUACCCUGGUAGUCCACACAGUAAACGAUGAAUACUCGCUGU